rnacentral:rRNA from 1 species
UGAUGUGGAGCUAAACUGAAAAAAGUAAGUCUCAGUUCGGAUUGAAGGCUGAAAUUCGCCUUCAUGAAGCCGGAAUUGCUAGUAAUGGCAGGUCAGCAUACUGCCGUGAAUACGUUCCCGGGCCUUGUACACACCGCCCGUCACACCAUGAGAGUUGGGAAUACCCGAAGCCUGUGAGCUAACUAUACGAGGCAGCAGUCGAAGGUAGAAUCAAUGAUUGGGGUGAAGUCGUAACAAGGUAGC